GGUGGGGUGGGUGAGUGGUUAAUACCAGCAGACUGUAAAUCUGCCGCCUUGACUGGCUACGCAGGUUCGAAUCCUGCCCCCACCACCC
rnacentral:tRNA from 1 species